AUUCAUAGACCCCAAAUCCCACCGUAACAAAGAUGAUAACGCUCUUGGAUUUUUGAAAGGACCGGCGAUGUUCAUGAUAACUGACAGUCUCAAUGUUAGUCCGAUCUCUGCAAUUCUUGGCCUGUCAAUUUUAUGCGAAUUGAACGUACCUGUCACUGACAUUGAGGUACAAGUUGCUCAAGUGGGCAACAAGGAGGCACUCCGUCUUCUGGUGGCUUCUUUUGUUUGUGACUCUGCUCUAACCAGUGUCUUCCUUAGGAAGCCAAAUCGAGGAUUUGGAUGCCUUAGUUUUCUAAUUUAAGAAGAGGAUGUAUUUUCUGUUGCAGAUUAAUUGAUUUUCUACUUUAUGUAUUGUUCUCUGCACUAUUGUAUGUUUUGUGUUAUACAACUUGAAACGCUUAUAAUUAUUGGAUUGCUGUGAGAUAUUGCUUUGUA